GACGAACGCUGGCGGCGUGCUUAACACAUGCAAGUCGAACGGAAAGUCCCUGCUUUUGUGCGGUGCUCGAGUGGCGAACGGGUGAGUAACACUUUAGUAACCUGCCCUUCACUUUGGGAUAACUUCAUGAAACUUGGGCUAAUACCGGAUAGGAGCUCCUGCUGCAUGGUGGGCGCUGGAAUGAUUCGGCGGUUGGGGAUGGACUCGCGGCUUAUCAGCUUGUUGGUGGGGUAGUGUCUUACCAAGGCUUUGACGGGUAGGCUGCCUGCGCGGGUCACCGGCCAAGUUGGGCCUGGGAUGCGGCACAGACUCCUACGGGAGGCAGCAGUGGAGAAGAUUGCACAGUGGGCGGAAGCAUAAUGCAGCAACGCCGCGUGGGGGGAGAGGGCAUUCGGGUUGUAAACCGCUUUCGCUUGUGACGAAGCGUGAGUGACGGUAAUGGGUAAAGAAGCACCGGCUAACUACGUG
rnacentral:rRNA from 1 species